GUGGGGAAUUUUGGACAAUGGGCGCAAGCCUGAUCCAGCAAUGCCGCGUGCAGGAAGAAGGCCUUCGGAUUGUAAACUGCUUUUGUACGGAACGAAACGGUCCGGGUUAAUACCCUGGGCUAAUGACGGUACCGUAAGAAUAAGCACCGGCUAACUACGUGCCAGCAGCCGCGGUAAUACGUAGGGUGCAAGCGUUAAUCGGAAUUACUGGGCGUAAAGCGUGCGCAGGCGGUUUUGUAAGACAGGCGUGAAAUCCCCGGGCUCAACCUGGGAAUUGCGCUUGUGACUGCAAGGCUGGAGUGCGGCAGAGGGGGAUGGAAUUCCGCGUGUAGCAGUGAAAUGCGUAGAUAUGCGGAGGAACACCGAUGGCGAAGGCAAUCCCCUGGGCCUGCACUGACGCUCAUGCACGAAAGCGUGGGGAGCAAACAGGAUUAGAUACCCUAGUAGUCC
rnacentral:rRNA from 1 species